rnacentral:pre_miRNA from 7 species
CCAGCCUGUGAUACUCAAACUGGGGGCUCUUUUGGAUUUUCAUCGGAAGAAAAGUGCCGCCAGGUUUUGAGUGUCACCGGUUGA